UUUACCUUGUAAACCUGAAAUGACGUCUAAUGUACUCUGCGGCACAAAGCCAGCUGACCAACUAGUUUCACCUUCAGUGGAUUCUUCAACCGCCUUCUCUUCCAAUCAUAAUUCACAUCAUCGAACGUUUGCGAACAUUGUCUCAUUACUUGAUAUAAAGUAGAAACGAAAGCAUUCCAUAUUACAGUGCCAGUAUCCCGAAUUAUGACCACUUCAGCUUACGUAACUCUGGAAUGUACAUAUAUAAGAAGACAAACUUGGGUUGCCUUUGAAGAUAUAAAGUAUAAGUAGUGGUAAUGAAACAAGCCAAAACCUGUGGUGCAUUUAUAAUACUACGUGGUGAAACAUUUCGUACCAAUCCGGUGACCAACAUACGAUUUGAAGAUACAACUGUCAAAAUGCGGUGAAUUCGUCCAAAUUCCGUCAGAUAUAAUAUAAACAUAAAGGAGUUGAAAACCUGUAUCACUCUUUGAAACGGAAAAUUUUAAAAGGAGCGCUAAUAGAUACCAUGCAGAAAAACAGAAUUACGGGAAGUAUUUUUUAAACUAACAUGACAACGAAGAUUCACAUAAGAAGAGUUGAUACAGCCAAAGCUUUCAACGUUGGAUAGAAUAGAGGAAUAAGAUGGAAAUAAUAAUAAAAACUAUUUAGUUAAGAGUGCUAGCAUGUUUAUAAUGCAAUAGCUUCCCCAAUUUAUUUUAAUUGGAGAUAUGUGCGGGUAUGCUUGUAUAGAAAUAUGUACUGUUAAUGUAUAAAAUAUGUAUUUA